AGCGAACGCUGGCGGCAGGCCUAACACAUGCAAGUCGAACGGUCCUUCGGGAUAGUGGCGGACGGGUGAGUAACACGUGGGAACGUGCCUUUUGGUUCGGAACAACUUGGGGAAACUUAAGCUAAUACCGGAUGUGCCCUUAGGGGGAAAGAUUUAUCGCCAUUAGAGCGGCCCGCGUCUGAUUAGCUAGUUGGUGGGGUAAAGGCAUACCAAGGCGACGAUCAGUAGCUGGUCUGAGAGGAUGAUCAGCCACAUUGGGACUGAGACACGGCCCAAACUCCUACGGGAGGCAGCAGUGGGGAAUCUUGCGCAAUGGGCGAAAGCCUGACGCAGCCAUGCCGCGUGAAUGAUGAAGGUCUUGGGAUUGUAAAAUUCUUUCACCGGGGACGAUAGUGACGGUACCCGGAGAAGAAGCCCCGGCUAACUUCGCGCCAGCCGCCGCUGUAA
rnacentral:rRNA from 1 species